GGCUCUUUGAAUACGAAAUAUAAAGAGUCGGACCUGCCCAGUGAAAUAUUUUAACGGCCGCGGUACUCUGACCGUGCAAAGGUAGCAUAAUCAUUUGCCCUAUAAUUGGGGGCUGGUAUGAAUGGUUUGACAAGAGUAACCCUGUCUCUAUAUAAUUUUAUAAAAUUUAAUCUUCAGCUGAAGAAGCUUGAAUUUAAUUAAAAGACAAGAAGACCCUAUCGAGCUUAAAAGUAAUUAAAAGGUAAUAAGUAUAUUAAUAUAAUAUAACUUUUAAAAAUUUUGGUUGGGGCGACCUAGGAACAAAUAAAGCUUCUUUUAAUAAAAAAAUAUACACAUUUUGAUCCAAAAAUUUUGAUUAAAGAAAUUAGUUACCGUAGGGAUAACAGCAUAAUCUUUUUUGAGAGCUCUUAUCGAAAAAAAGGCUUGUGACCUCGAUGUUGGACCAAGAUAUCCUAAAGAUGCAACCGUCUUUAAAGGUUGGUCUGUUCGACCAUUAAAAUUUUACGUGAUCUGAGUUCAGACCG
rnacentral:rRNA from 1 species